UUAAUUGUCACUGUUAAAAUACUAAAUUCAUAAAUCUUAUGCCGCUCUUUAACUUAAGUAUAUCCAUGAAUCCAAAACUUGUCUUAUUUUUAUUAACUAAUUCAUAUGUCAUGUACUUUGUGAAGUUCUUAGAAAGUUCUAUCUUACAAAAACCUAUAUGCAUGCAUGUUUUUUUAUGAUCGAAUCUUUAUAAUUGCAAACUAUAUUUAGAUGAGAAGGAUUUAUAUGAUUAGAGACUUAGAUGCUGGUGAUUACUUCACAUUAAUUUUGUUUGUCAGUCUUUAUUAUUCAUAUAUUGUGAUUUUCUUCGAUGGAUAUCCACCCUAAACCCAAAUUAUCUUUGUUGUGGUUGUGGCUACCCUCCUUGUCUACAACCUAUUCAUAUGAGUAUAUGGUCAUUUAAAGUGGUGCUUCAAAAGACAUCAACGACCAUCUUGAUAUAUUUUUCUAGUAAUUUAUUCAAUGAGCAUAAUUUUUGAAACAUAAAUUUUGUUUGCUAUUUAUGCUCACAGGAUGCAAGCUGGGGAGGGGGACCUGCUGGUUUCAUCGAAAUAUUCAGAAGAUUAAGGAUGAAUUUGGAGAGCAAGGAAAAAUAUAAAGAAAGGGAGAAAUGGAGGAAAAAAAGCAAUGUUGAAAAGAAAAACUAAAAGAGAACCUCGCACCCCCAUAGUUUUUCUAACCCGUCAAACGAGUUGAGGUUGUUCACAAGGUUUGUGCUCUAUCACUUCCAACAUGUGCAAUCCAGUCUGUCCAUCUAUCUAAAUAUGUGUGCUUCUCUCUCUUCCUUUCCUAUAUUUAUUUUUCAUGGUUUUCUUGACAAGUUACAUUAAUU
rnacentral:lncRNA from 1 species